ACAAUGUAGUACCGUGCAUGACAUUACAGACAAAUCUCUCUCGUUCACUUUGUAAACCUACCCGAUCGCCUCUCAAAACCCUAACCUUCGAAGUUCGCUUCGUCUCUCAGAGCGAGAUCUUCAACCAUUCGAAGGAACAAUGAGUCGUUCAAGUAGAACUCUCUAUGUUGGUAAUCUUCCGGGUGAUAUUCGUGAGCGAGAAAUAGAAGAUCUAUUCUACAAGUAUGGACCGAUAGCCCAUAUUGAUCUGAAAAUCCCGCCGAGACCCCCUGGUUAUGCAUUCGUUGAGUUUGAAGAGGCUCGUGAUGCCGAAGCUGCUAUUGAUGGUCGUGAUGGCUAUGAUUUUGAUGGGCAUCGAUUGAGGGUGGAGCUUGCACAUGGUGGCCGUGGACAGUCAUCAUCCAUAGAUCGUCACAAUAGUUAUAACAGUGGUCGAGGGAGCCGUGGUGGGGUGUCUAGGCGCUCUGAAUAUCGUGUGUUAGUUACUGGAUUGCCUUCUUCAGCGUCAUGGCAAGACCUUAAGGACCACAUGCGCCGAGCAGGGGAUGUAUGUUUUUCUCAAGUUUUCCGUGAUAAAAGUGGCACAACUGGGGUUGUGGAUUACACAAACUAUGACGACAUGAAAUAUGCAAUCAGGAAACUUGAUGAUUCUGAGUUUCGGAAUGCUUUUAGUCGGGGAAUAGUUCGUGUAAAGGAGUAUGAUUCAAAGCGGAGCCGGAGCUUUUCUAGGAGCCGCAGUCGUAGCCGUUCCUAUUCAAGAGGCAGGAGCUCUAGUCGCAGCCGUAGUAGAAGCAGGAGCAGGAGCAAAUCUCCAAAAGCCAAAGCUUCUCGUCGCACACCUACAUCUCGAUCGAGGUCUGCUUCUCGUUCUCGCUCUAGGUCUAGGCCGCGGUCUCUGUCAAGAUAUGGAUAUAUGCGGCGAUCUGGGGAUUGCAUAUUAGGAUCUUGAUGGAAAAUGGUUCAAAUGCCUGCAACUCUUUUGGUUGUGGAGGUAUGAUGUUUUCUAGAUGGGCAGUUUUGGUAACCUUUAUGGUUCUUCCAUUCUGUUACAUUAAGCAUCACAAAUGUCCAUGGGUGCUAGAUUGGGAACAAAUGGAUUGCGAUGGUAAAGCUGGACUGUGAACUAGGUGCUAGCAACCAUCAAUUUGCGGUAGAAACAGUUCAUCUGUCAUUGGUUUUCUCUAACAUUGCCAAGCUACUAGGAUAUGCUAUCUGGAUUCUCUGAGGCAGCACGGCUGUUGGAUCAAAGUUGUUAAAAGGAACGUGUGGAUAUUAAAUUGGUUGUUUCUGGAACUUUUGCAGAUCUCCUUCAAGAUCCAGAUCUCCUAAACCAUCUCGACAGAAACGUGCAAGUAAAAGCCCGAAAAAGCUCAAAUCUAGCAGGAGCAAGAGCCGGAGCAAGAGCCGGAGCCGGAGCCUGUCCCGGUGAAUUUUGAUCUCGCUUGAUCCAUUGGCUUCAGAAGCUGUGAAAGACGGUGAGAUUGCCUUGUUUGUUCGUUAAGCUUUACUUCUGUGUGGUAGCUGCGGAAUAUCUAUUACCAUCAGACUUUGAUUGGAGAAUGGGUGGACUUGGAACAGUUUAAUGUGUGUUUUUUGAAUUGACUCUUGAAAUUCUCUUGUUAAACCAGAACUUAGAUACUACCAAGUUUAUUGCAUGCCUUUCAGCGUUGCAGGAUUUGCAAAAGACUAAACUAUUAUCUUAGGUUAAGAUGUUGAGUUGUUGAUUGCUCUAGUUUUACCUAGGUUAGUCUUAUGCUAGCAAAAUAUAUCUUGGAUCGGAUUCAUAUAUCA